rnacentral:rRNA from 1 species
UAUCCUACGGGAGGCAGCAGUGAGGAAUAUUGGUCAAUGGGCGGGAGCCUGAACCAGCCAAGUCGCGUGAGGGAUGACGGCCCUAUGGGUUGUAAACCUCUUUUGCCGGGGAGCAAAGUGCCGCACGUGUGCGGUUUGGAGAGUACCCGGAGAAAGAGCAUCGGCUAACUCCGUGCCAGCAGCCGCGGUAAUACGGAGGUGGCCAGCGUUAUCCGGAUUUAUUGGGUGUAAAGGGCGUGUAGGCGGGAAUGCAAGUCAGAUGUGAAAACUAUGGGCUCAACCCAUAGCCUGCAUUUGAAACUGUU